rnacentral:rRNA from 1 species
UUGUCUCUCUUGAGUGGAUCCUGAGUACGACGGAGCACGUGAAAUUCCGUCGGAAUCUGGGAGGACCAUCUCCUAAGGCUAAAUACUCUCUAGUGACCGAUAGUGAACCAGUACCGUGAGGGAAAGGUGAAAAGCACCCCGGAAGGGGAGUGAAAUAGAACCUGAAACCGUGUGCUUACAAGUAGUCAGAGCCCGUUAAUGGGUGAUGGCGUGCCUUUUGUAGAAUGAACCGGCGAGUUACGAUUUGAUGCAAGGUUAAGCAGUAAAUGUGGAGCCGUAGCGAAAGCGAGUCUGAAUAGGGCGUUUAGUAUUUGGUCGUAGACCCGAAACCAGGUGAUCUACCCUUGGUCAGGUUGAAGUUCAGGUAACACUGAAUGGAGGACCGAACCGACUUACGUUGAAAAGUGAGCGGAUGAACUGAGGGUAGCGGAGAAAUUCCAAUCGAACCUGGAGAUAGCUGGUUCUCUCCGAAAUAGCUUUAGGGCUAGCCUCAAGUGAUGAUUAUUGGAGGUAGAGCACUGUUUGG